rnacentral:rRNA from 1 species
UUAAGUUAUUAAGGGCGCACGGUGGAUGCCUUGGCACUAGAAGCCGAUGAAGGACGUUACUAACGACGAUAUGCUUUGGGGAGCUGUAAGUAAGCUUUGAUCCAGAGAUUUCCGAAUGGGGAAACCCAGCAUGAGUUAUGUCAUGUUAUCGAUAUGUGAAUACAUAGCAUAUCAGAAGGCACACCCGGAGAACUGAAACAUCUUAGUACCCGGAGGAAGAGAAAGAAAAUUCGAUUCCCUUAGUAGCGGCGAGCGAAACGGGAAGAGCCCAAACCAACAAGCUUGCUUGUUGGGGUUGUAGGACACUCUAUACGGAGUUACAAAGGACGACAUUAGACGAAUCAUCUGGAAAGAUGAAUCAAAGAAGGUAAUAAUCCUGUAGUCGAAAAUGUUGUCUCUCUUGAGUGGAUCCUGAGUACGACGGAGCACGUGAAAUUCCGUCGGAAUCUGGGAGGACCAUCUCCUAAGGCUAAAUACUCUCUAGUGACCGAUAGUGAACCAGUACCGUGAGGGAAAGGUGAAAAGCACCCCGGAAGGGGAGUGAAAUAGAACCUGAAACCGUGUGCUUACAAGUAGUCAGAGCCCGUUAAUGGGUGAUGGCGUGCCUUUUGUAGAAUGAACCGGCGAGUUACGAUUUGAUGCAAGGUUAAGCAGUAAAUGUGGAGCCGUAGCGAAAGCGAGUCUGAAUAGGGCGUUUAGUAUUUGGUCGUAGACCCGAAACCAGGUGAUCUACCCUUGGUCAGGUUGAAGUUCAGGUAACACUGAAUGGAGGACCGAACCGACUUACGUUGAAAAGUGAGCGGAUGAACUGAGGGUAGCGGAGAAAUUCCAAUCGAACCUGGAGAUAGCUGGUUCUCUCCGAAAUAGCUUUAGGGCUAGCCUCAAGUGAUGAUUAUUGGAGGUAGAGCACUGUUUGGACGAGGGGCCCCUCUCGGGUUACCGAAUUCAGACAAACUCCGAAUGCCAAUUAAUUUAACUUGGGAGUCAGAACAUGGGUGAUAAGGUCCGUGUUCGAAAGGGAAACAGCCCAGACCACCAGCUAAGGUCCCAAAAUAUAUGUUAAGUGGAAAAGGAUGUGGCGUUGCCCAGACAACUAGGAUGUUGGCUUAGAAGCAGCCAUCAUUUAAAGAGUGCGUAAUAGCUCACUAGUCGAGUGACACUGCGCCGAAAAUGUACCGGGGCUAAACAUAUUACCGAAGCUGUGGAUUGUCCUUUGGACAAUGGUAGGAGAGCGUUCUAAGGGCGUUGAAGCAUGAUCGUAAGGACAUGUGGAGCGCUUAGAAGUGAGAAUGCCGGUGUGAGUAGCGAAAGACGGGUGAGAAUCCCGUCCACCGAUUGACUAAGGUUUCCAGAGGAAGGCUCGUCCGCUCUGGGUUAGUCGGGUCCUAAGCUGAGGCCGACAGGCGUAGGCGAUGGAUAACAGGUUGAUAUUCCUGUACCACCUAUAAUCGUUUUAAUCGAUGGGGGGACGCAGUAGGAUAGGCGAAGCGUGCGAUUGGAUUGCACGUCUAAGCAGUAAGGCUGAGUAUUAGGCAAAUCCGGUACUCGUUAAGGCUGAGCUGUGAUGGGGAGAAGACAUUGUGUCUUCGAGUCGUUGAUUUCACACUGCCGAGAAAAGCCUCUAGAUAGAAAAUAGGUGCCCGUACCGCAAACCGACACAGGUAGUCAAGAUGAGAAUUCUAAGGUGAGCGAGCGAACUCUCGUUAAGGAACUCGGCAAAAUGACCCCGUAACUUCGGGAGAAGGGGUGCUCUUUAGGGUUAACGCCCAGAAGAGCCGCAGUGAAUAGGCCCAAGCGACUGUUUAUCAAAAACACAGGUCUCUGCUAAACCGUAAGGUGAUGUAUAGGGGCUGACGCCUGCCCGGUGCUGGAAGGUUAAGAGGAGUGGUUAGCUUCUGCGAAGCUACGAAUCGAAGCCCCAGUAAACGGCGGCCGUAACUAUAACGGUCCUAAGGUAGCGAAAUUCCUUGUCGGGUAAGUUCCGACCCGCACGAAAGGCGUAACGAUUUGGGCACUGUCUCAACGAGAGACUCGGUGAAAUCAUAGUACCUGUGAAGAUGCAGGUUACCCGCGACAGGACGGAAAGACCCCGUGGAGCUUUACUGUAGCCUGAUAUUGAAAUUCGGCACAGCUUGUACAGGAUAGGUAGGAGCCUUUGAAACGUGAGCGCUAGCUUACGUGGAGGCGCUGGUGGGAUACUACCCUAGCUGUGUUGGCUUUCUAACCCGCACCACUUAUCGUGGUGGGAGACAGUGUCAGGCGGGCAGUUUGACUGGGGCGGUCGCCUCCUAAAAGGUAACGGAGGCGCUCAAAGGUUCCCUCAGAAUGGUUGGAAAUCAUUCAUAGAGUGUAAAGGCAUAAGGGAGCUUGACUGCGAGACCUACAAGUCGAGCAGGGUCGAAAGACGGACUUAGUGAUCCGGUGGUUCCGCAUGGAAGGGCCAUCGCUCAACGGAUAAAAGCUACCCCGGGGAUAACAGGCUUAUCUCCCCCAAGAGUUCACAUCGACGGGGAGGUUUGGCACCUCGAUGUCGGCUCAUCGCAUCCUGGGGCUGUAGUCGGUCCCAAGGGUUGGGCUGUUCGCCCAUUAAAGCGGUACGCGAGCUGGGUUCAGAACGUCGUGAGACAGUUCGGUCCCUAUCCGUCGUGGGCGUAGGAAAUUUGAGAGGAGCUGUCCUUAGUACGAGAGGACCGGGAUGGACAUACCUCUGGUGUACCAGUUGUCGUGCCAACGGCAUAGCUGGGUAGCUAUGUGUGGACGGGAUAAGUGCUGAAAGCAUCUAAGCAUGAAGCCCCCCUCAAGAUGAGAUUUCCCAACUUCGGUUAUAAGAUCCCUCAA